UCCAUUGUAUUUGGUAACCGCCUGGUUGCUAGGCAGUGUAGUUAGCUGAUUGGUAAACUCUAACUAAGCAAUCACUAACCACACAGCCAGGCAAACUGGUCAGGAUCACAUCCUGAACUGG
rnacentral:pre_miRNA from 17 species